rnacentral:rRNA from 1 species
GAUAAACGCUGGCGGCGCACAUAAGACAUGCAAGUUGAACGGACUUAAUCGAAAUAUUUAUAUUUUGAAGCGGUUAGUGGCGGACUGGUGAGUAACGCGUAAGGAACCUGCCUAUUAGAGGGGAAUAACAGUGAGAAAUCAUUGCUAAUACCGCAUAUGCCAUAGAUAUCACAUGAUAACAGUGGGAAAGGAGCAAUCCGCUAAUAGAUGGCCUUGCGUCUGAUUAGAUAGUUGGUGGGGUAACGGCCUACCAAGUCGACGAUCAGUAGCCGGACUGAGAGGUUGAACGGCCACAUUGGGACUGAGAUACGGCACAGACUCCUGCGGGAGGCAGCAGUCAGGAAUAUUGCGCAAUGGAGGAAACUCGGACGCAGUGACGCCGCGUAUAGGAAGAAGGUUUUCGGAUUGUAAACUAUUGUCGUUAGGGAAGAGAAAGGACAGUACCUAAGGAGGAAGCUCCGGCUAACUACGUG